CAGUUUCCUUCCAGAACAAACAGCAGCUACGUAUUGUAGCUCCAUCCAGCUGGAGGGGGUACUCUGUGAUUUGCUUAGGCUCAGUGUGCUGGUAUUUUUCUACACCUCCCUGAGCUUUUAAUUAGAUGAGCCAAUUUUACAUGUAUUUGUCUGCUGGAAAGGUUAUCUGUGCUGGAGCUGACCUGCAGAGACAAGGUUGAGCCUAGCGGUCUUAAUAGAAAAGGUUUUCAGCUAUGACUGCCGUACUUGAUUGCAUUGUAAUGGUAAUUAACUUGAGACUUGGCCUCCCUCAAUGUUUUUUUGUAGCUUUAACUAUGCAAUGAGAUGUUUCCUCUGUCAUAUAUAUGCACUUAUUAAGCUCUCAUUGGAUUCUAAUAUGCAUGCAAAUAGUCAAGAGUUUCUUAAGGCUAAUACUACACUAUGUAGAUUGUAGUGCCAUUAAGUCACUACAAAGAUGUAGCCCGCAGCAAACUUAUAAGGCUCCUCUUCCUGUGAGUGUAGGCGAGGCUUGAUUUCUCUUUUUUGUGCUUUGCUUAAACCUAAAGGAGGAAGAAUUCCCUCUACGUAGUUUCGUUGCCUUUUAACCUGAAGGAUGCUUCGCACGACAGCAAGCUUUAAGGCUUCAUUCUUACAGAACCAUCCUAAAAGCGCUCUUGUGCUCUACAAGGAAGAUUGCAACGUUCUCAAUUCCAAGUCGGAACCAGUUGAGUGCAGCUACUUUCAUAAGAGGAAGCACAGGGGGAAAAAGAAAGCAAGCAAGUAGUGUACCUCCACCAGGGAGCACGGUGGAGGCAGAGGGCUUGUAGGAGACCCGUCAUGAAGCUUGACUCCUUCUGCUCACACAGGUUUGGCAUUUAAGCUAAUUUGUAAGCAUUUAGGGCCUGACUCUGAUCUCCCUUUCACCGCUCACUGGAGCUGUCAAAGCACUUCCCAGCAGAAGUAAGGAAGGGAACCUGCCAGCUGGAUUUGUCCCUUUCUCCACUCUUUUGUCCUGGUGGAUUUGGGCUUAAGUAAUUCUGAUAAAACAAGGACCCCCAUGUCCUAGCAUGGGUUGUGUUGCUGAUAGUGGAGCAUCUUCAGGGAUGUAGAAUCCUUCCAGAUGGGAUGCCCUCCUCAAGGCUGACAUAUAGGGGAGGGUUUACACACUUUACUUUUCUACCUGUAGGGCUCAGCUCAAGGCUUGUGGAUACCAAUGAGUCCAUUCUAUCUCCCUAGGGGACACCAGCCCAAAUCCUAGUCAAUGAGGCCUAUUCCAAUAGCCAACGAGGCCUACUCCAGUGAGUCUCAGGCUUGAGACUUGCACAGCUCUGCUGAGGACCUCGUUUUUCCAUGGGUGGCCAUGGCACAUCUGUUAAUGGCAACUUGAACACGUCCACAGCAGUUAAGCAGUUUCACCUUCAGGCUCAGACGUUGGUGUUCAAAGACUUUGUUCUUAUUCCGAUGACUGAUAGAGGACCUCUGUUUGGGUUGAUGCUGUAGUCUUUUAAGUACGCUUUCCAGAAAGCUGUAAAUCUCUAUUUUGAGAGCAGAGCAGAGAUCCUUCUGUUGAACCCAUCGUAUAUAUUCAAGAAGACAACACUUUGGUGGACAUCAACACAUUGGUAAGCAUCAAUGAGGAAAGCCUCAAUGAUUUUUCUAUAGUUCUUCCAAGUUUGAAGCCAUUUGAUGAUCUGCUUGCUGCAUCUUUUUCUUCUUAAGUGAUUUUUAUAGCAGAAUAUAACUCAGGAGAAAAAUAUACUUCCUGGGAAAUAUAUUCUUCCUGUUAUGCCACUUUCUUUAAUCAGAAUUAAAUUAAAAGAUCAACACUUCCAUGGAAAUUAAUUCUUGAAAUACUUUCUGGACACUAAAGAGGGGGAAACAAACGUUAAUAACAGAAAUGUGUGAUUCCUGUGAGAGGAGUGUGGAUGCAGCAGAGAAUGUGAUUCUACUUCAGCCCUGGAAAGCUGCAGAAAUCAAUGCUUCAUUCAAGGCUAUUGAUCAGUACUAAAUUAAUUAGACUUCAAGGCUUAUGGCAGUUGAUAAGACAACUUGUUAAUUUAGUCAAUGAUAGUGUUUUCCCUAAAGCAGCAAAUACCCUCUUUCUCAGAAAAGACAUUUCCAGCACUUGCUACCCAAUGUUUUUCCCCCUUUUUUUUUUUUUUUUUUUUUUAAUUUAAAAAAAAAAUUCACUUUACAUUUAAAUUAAGAUAAGGAUUGGAUGGGGAGAUGCUUCCAUCUACCCCCAUUUGCCUUCCUUUGCUCUAAUGUUGGAGCGGGAUGUUGAUAACAUCUGAUGUAAUUUAAUAGGAUGGCAGCAUAACAUUUAGCUUCUUCGACCCCGGCCCAUUGACGGCGAGGUUCAUUUGGGAAAGCUGCUGGGGGAGGAGGAGGAGGGAGCAGACCCACUUUCUAACUACGUUUUUUAAAUGGCAAACCCAGAGUUCCUGCUUCCCAGGCAAGGAGGAUGCUUGUGGCAGCUGACAAAGGCAUGGGCAGUGCUGGUGCUGCAAGCCAUGAAUGAGACGAAGGUAUCCCAGAAUACCCCGGACAUCGGGCUGUACUUCCUGCUGGCUGGGAAGGACAAAAGGACAAAGCUGAAGGAGUGCCGGGGUCCCACCACCAGCUCUUGGAGGCACCAGUCUGCUACCAACAGCACUCCAACCCUCGGAGAAUGCUAAUAAGCCACUGAAGAGCUCAGCUUUCCUGCCAUAAUUCUAUAGCGCCGUCGAGGACCCCAUAGUGUUCGCUAAAUAAAGACAACUAAUUGAGAAUUUUUUGCA